AAUACAAAUGCUCCGGAGACCGCGAGCGUUCGCAUGCGCAUUCGCGAUCCGCUGCAAGUCUUACGCGAACGCCAUGAAUGUAAACAAUUAUUUCUCUCUCCCUUUCGUGGUCGGGAACCGUCUGUGUUUUUGGCACCUUUUAAACUCUCUGCCCUGUUUUAUGAACAGGGGUAGUGUGCUUACCAGGAAUAAGAACCGCAAUGUGAAACUUCAGGAAUAUAUUGCUCUAUAAGAAAGAGGAGCCUUUAUGUCUCCAUGGGACUUCAUGACAUCUACAGUGACUGGCAGAGUACAGUAGCAGACAGAACAACUGUUGCUGAAAGAAGAUUCUGCACUGGUUGAAUAUUAGGCCAUCUUCAACAAUGGAUUCUGCAAAUGCUGAAGUAAAGCUGGAGGUCAAAGAAGAGCCAGAAUAUGUAUACGUGGAUGAAACA